GCCCCCGUGGCUCAGUGGACAGAGCAGCGGCUUCCGAAGCCGCAGGUCGCAGGUUCGACUCCUGCCGGGGGCU
rfam:Amycolatopsis mediterranei S699, complete genome.